rnacentral:rRNA from 1 species
GUAGUUAGCCGUGGCUUCCUCCUCUGGUACCGUCAUUAUCGUCCCAGAAAACAGAACUUUACAACCCUAAGGCCUUCAUCAUUCACGCGGCGUUGCUGCAUCAGGCUUUCGCCCAUUGUGCAAUAUUCCCCACUGCUGCCUCCCGCAGGAGUCUGGACCGUAUCUCAGUUCCAGUGUGGCCGAUCAGCCUCUCAGCUCGGCUACCCAUCGUCGACUUGGUGGGCCGUUACCCCGCCAACUAUCUAAUGGGACGCGAACCCCUCUUAUACCGGAUUGCUCCUUUGACCUCAUCCCGAUGUCGGGUCGUGGUCUUAUGCGGUAUUAGCAACCGUUUCCGGUUGUUAUCCCCCUGUAUAAGGCAGGUUGUUCACGCGUUACUCACCCGUUCGCCACUAAGUUAUCAACCGAAAUCAAUAACUCCGUUCGACUUGCAUGUGUUAGCACGCCGCCACGCGUCGUCCUCGAGCACGAAUACGACCUACGA